ACAAACUUGUCUCGUAUUGUAACAGAAGAUUCUUAUCAGUGAUCUACUACCUGACAAUGAAAGACGUCAUUGGAGCUUGCAUUUUCUUCAGUAUUGCAGUAACCCAAGGUAUAGCCGAAAAAUUAAGAACAGGCACAUUGAUGACUGGGAUUAAUGUGCUUGCAGUGUGUAAACGUCAUUCAGCCACGUCAUUGCCAUGGAAUCACUUACUGUGCUGACAACGAGGUUUGUUAUGUGGAAAAAAUUAUAUCAACAGAUGGAAUCCGUUACAAUUCGGGAUGUAGGGAGAAAGGUAUUUGUAAAGUACAGAAUUCAAGCAGCACAACAUUAACCUCAGGAGAUGGACUGAUUCAGACAUACGCAUGCACGGAUUGUUGUCAGAGUGACUUGUGUAACUCGGAAGGUUGUGGGGAACCAGGCAUUCCUUCCACCCGCGGACCGAUGUGCUUUGGAUGCUCUCAGAUUCGCAAUGCAACAGAUUGUCGUACAAUCACGUACUGUAGGCAGACUGAGGUUUGUCACAUAACUGAAGAGGUUGAGUUCGGAGAUAAGGUGUACUCUACCGGGUGUGUUCAUUCACAAUUAUGUUCGAGUGUUGCCUCCAGACAGAAUGCAAUAUCUGAUCUAUCCUUGUGGCACACUUUCACGAGAGCAAGCACCGUCGCUUCAACAUCAAUGUCGACGACGACAUCACAAGCUCAAACAACAACAUUCCCAACGUCAUCCAGAAAAACCCACACACAUGCCACACACACCAAACACACAACGAAACAGGCUGUCACACCACCGAUGGGAGUUGUAGUUGUCGGAAGAAGACUGGCGCUCCACAAACGAUACGUGGAUUGCAGUCAAUGCUGUCAUGGUGAUCUGUGCAACUACGAGUGUCACAGAUUGGAUAAAGCAACUACUCCAUCGUCUUCGAAGUCAACCGCCUAUCUUCCUACAAUACACCCAACACAAAUCUUUCACCCGUCUAGCUCGAUACAAAACACAUGGCAACAAUCUUCUCCUACAACACAAGCAACAAUGCAACAGUCUUCCAGUACAACACAAGGUAUCUCAAACUUUACAAUACCGACCGCUGGUACUGUACCGCUAACUUCAACGAUUUCCCCCACAUCUUCCCAGACACAGAACAAUGGCCCAGGUACAAAUGAAAAUUUAAUGACUAAUAUUUUUUUCCAUUGUGUAUAUAUAUAAUUUAAGUAAGUGAUAUAAGUUUUUGUUUUUAAAGACUCAACAGGACAAGAGUUCCUUUUGGCCUUUUCAAAGCAUGAAAACGGAAAUGACGCCGACAACAUUUCCUUGUUGGUUACUUCCCCUGAAAAUGGUCAUAUAAGUCUUUACAUUCCUGAAAACAACGCCUACAUAAACAAAACCUUAACUAAGGGAGAAAAUAUCAUAGGGCUAGAUCCUCACCUAACCGUUGACAAUCUACAGAAAGAAAACAAGUCGGUACAUGUUCUGACCGACGUCAAUGUCACUUUACACGUACAAGAGUAUCGGAACGUGUUCGACACGGGAUUUUUAGCCUUACCAACGCACUGCCUGUCUACUAAAUAUAUAGUGUCCACCGAGCCUGCAUUUGACGGAGCCAAUCCAGCCUAUGUUACCGUGGCUGCUCUGAAAGACAACACUAUUCUUUCAUUCAAACUCAAACUAAGUGGGAAUGAUACCAUAGAGUUUAAAGGCAGACAGUAUGGAGACGGGGAUUUUUUAAACAUCUCUCUGGGUCGUUAUGAAACUUUUCAGAUUGCAGGCUUAACGGAUUUCACGGGUACCAUAGUUCAGAGUUCGAACCCAGUUUCUGUUCUGUCGGGCAAUACAGCUACUGUUGUUCCAAAACCCGUUGACCCGUCCAAUAUAUUUGAUGCACAGACCCUUUCCCAAAUGAUACCUUCUGUACCUUCUCUUGGCAAACAGUUCAUCGUUCCCAAACUUCAAGACAGACAUAGUUUUUAUUACAAAAUAAUCGCUUCCAGUCCAAACACUCAUGUUACCGUUGGAAACAGAGACACCACUCUUCAAAACGAGGGAUCCUUCCAAACGUUAGAAUCAUUCAAUGGACGCUCAGUCAAUAUUUCGAGUGACAAGCCAGUUUUAGUGGUCCAAGUAGCAAAAACAAUGCAAUCUCACUACGACACGGCCAGUGGAGCCAUGAUUGUGACCCCGUCUGUUGAACAAUAUAGAUCUGACUAUGACGUCAUAAUCCCCGACCCUCCAAAACGGAACCUCCAAACAAAAUACCGGACUUACCUUACAAUUAUAACAAAUUCGAGUGAAGUUGAUAAUAUCAAUAUUGAUGGGAAAAAGUAUGACGCAUUUAACUCCAAUUUGCAAACUGUGCAUUUGAAUGGAAAGUCUUAUUCUGUUAUAAGCUUAGAGAUGGAUGAUCCUGGAUUACAUAAGGUGAAUAGUUCAUCGGGAAGUAAGUUUGGGCUGAUUACGUAUGGAUUUGAUUAUGCUCAAGGUUAUGGAUACCCUGUAGGAUUAAAGUGUUGAUAUUCAGUGACUCUAUUUGAAUGACACAUAAAUGAAGUCGUGCACUAUUGUUUGAAUCCUAACUCCAAAACAGAUAUGCAUCAAAAACUAUUUCUUAACAAUUACAUGCAAGAAAUAAAAAUAUAGAACUCGUU
rnacentral:misc_RNA from 1 species